rnacentral:rRNA from 1 species
UGGGGAAUAUUGCACAAUGGGCGCAAGCCUGAUGCAGCCAUGCCGCGUGUGUGAAGAAGGCCGUCGGGUUGUAAAGCACUUUCAGCGGGGAGGAAGGCGAUAAGGGUAAGAACCUCAUCGAGUGACGUUACCCGCAGAAGAAGCACCGGCUAACUCCGUGCCAGCAGCCGCGGUAAUACGGAGGGUGCAAGCGUUAAUCGGAAUUACGGGGCGUAAAGCGCACGCAGGCGGUCUGCCAAGUCGGAUGUGAAAUCCCCGGGCUCAACCUUGGAACUGCAUUCGAAACUGGACGGAUAGAGUCUUGUAGAGGGGGGUAGAAUUCCAGGUGUAGCCGUGAAAUGCGUAGAGAUCUGGAGGCAUACCGGUGGCGAAGGCGGCCCCCUGGACGAAGACUGACGCUCAGGUGCGAAAGCGUGGUGAGCAAACAGG